CAUGCAAACUCAGAAAACCCCUGCAUCGACUUCAUAACACGAGCAAAUAGGGAAACGAACUGCAAGUUAUGACAACGGAAAUGUGUCCCGGGGGACCAUAAUCAGUGACGGACCCAUAUCCGGUUGGCGGUUCUUUUCAAUUACGAAGGUGUUAAGUCGUUUGAUUGUGCUACAAGAGAUUGACGUGUUCUGCCCGUUCUGUGCGGUGCAACUGGGGGACGCUCCCAAGUUUUGCCCGUCAUGUGGGCAGAAUGUGGGGUUCCUUACACAGCUCCCAUCAACUCCAUCCACCUCGUCAAGCGAAGGCUGUGGGCCUACAGUGAAGGAGACUAGGAAGGAAGGAAGAGCAGCUCAAUUCUUGAGGUUCAGGGAGGUUAAAGAGGCUGAGAGGAGGACCUCCUUUUCAAAGCUUAAAAAGAAGCAGGCCAUUACAGUGAAGAUUUCGAUUGGCAUCAUGUCAAGGACCAAGAAUGGUUUAAAACCUCAAAGAGGGAAAACCAUGCCGUUAAAUGUUGAACCCCAGUGGUCAACAACCCAAAUCUUGCCAGCUGCUUUAAAGAAGCAGCAAGAUUUUAAUCAAAACGCAAUGGUAGAUGGAGAAUAUGUGCUUCUCUAUCCUGAUGGAUCUCAGGUAGAAAAUAUACCUGGUACAGACAGACCUUUUGUUCUUGAACAUUAUAAAGAGGCAAUUGGGAAAUCUUACCAGAGGAUUACGCUGUACAUCUGCCUUCUUCAGGAUUUGAGUUAUGGAGAUGACUCAUCUUCAGAAUCCGAUGAUUGUGAAGCAUUUGGUCGGCUUCCAAUGAAAAUGUCCCCAAAACAAUCUCUGCCAACAACAUCCAGGGCAUCUGGUGGGCAAGCCAAUGGAGCAGGAGCAGGACCCAAAAAGACCACAUCACCAAACACAUCAUGUGAAUUCUACAAUACAUAUACAAAUGUAUAUGCACCAGUUGUCAUUGACAGCAGUUCCUCAGAUGUUGAGGAAGUCGACUACUCUCAGGUGGAAGACAGAGAGCAAGUUUUUGGACUGACUGCUGCUGACGUUUUGUCCAAUCUGUCAGAACACGAGC